AUUGAACGCUGGCGGAAUGCUUUACACAUGCAAGUCGAGCGGCAGCGCGGGGGCAACCCUGGCGGCGAGCGGCGAACGGGUGAGUAAUACAUCGGAACAUGUCCAGUCGUGGGGGAUAGCCCGGCGAAAGCCGGAUUAAUACCGCAUGAGCUCGAGAGAGGAAAGCGGGGGACCGUAAGGCCUCGCGCGACUGGGUUGGCCGAUGUCCGAUUAGCUAGUUGGUGGGGUAAAGGCCACCAAGGCGAUGAUCGGUAGCUGGUCUGAGAGGAUGAUCAGCCACACUGGGACUGAGACACGGCCCAGACUCCUACGGGAGGCAGCAGUGGGGAAUUUUGGACAAUGGGGAAACCCUGAUCCCGCCAUUCCGCGUGAGUGAAGAAGGCCUGGUU
rnacentral:rRNA from 1 species